AUGGUGGAUAAAUCGCAAAUGUGUUCUAGCUUACAAUUUGAAUCUAUGGUUAGACAGAAUCAAGAAGAAUCCACUGAUUGGCUAGUUUGUAACCUACCUAAUCUCGAUUGUAGUUUGCUCACUGAAUGCCGCCUUUUUUUUGUUAACUUGGAUGGCAGUAAUUACCAUGUUUUGGUAUUGCCCUCUCAUCUCUUAGGUACACAAAUUGUCCUUUCUGGCACGUCCGUGUGCUGGGUAGGCGAUGGUCCUUGGCGUUUUGCUGUAGAUGAUAUACUGCCAUGGUUAAUUACGCUCAAGUUUGCAAUUUCUUAG
rnacentral:rRNA from 1 species